GCAGGUUAAAACGCAUCACUUUAUCUUUUGGAAAUCGUCUGGACUUUCUAAAUCGCGAUCUUCUUCGAGUAGUCGACGAAAUUCCCAGAAGCUAAAUCGCCGAUCUGAUCUCCGUAACCUCUCAACCUUCGAUUAAUACAUGUUUAACUCUGAGUUUUUUUCGUGAUUAUCCCUCUUCGCAUACCACAGCAAGCGGCCGAAGUUUCGAGUCUAAAUAUCUCAUCCUUCAACAAUGGACAGCACAACUCAAACGCGAUCCAGAAGAGUUCUAAAAUCUGAUUACGAUGAUGGCGACUUCAUACACUUUCCUUGCCGAUUGAAAGCCAUCAAAUCCGGUCGCUGCUCUAACACUGCGGAAUUUGUAGAUUGUGGUUCACUGGAUCAACAUAGAUUUGCAAGGAACAAAAUCUGGGUAAUCGAUGACAAUAUACCUCUUCUUUACUCAAACGAGUUCUUUAAAAAAAUCAUUAGUUGAUCUUCCUCUCAAACCAUCAGAUGAGGACUUAAAGCAAUGGCCUGACAGGUGUAGGAACUAAAUUGCUAUAGAUGGCGACUCAACAUUGCUUUCUUUAGAAACGUCAAAGGAGCCCUCAGAUUGAAGGGUUAGAGACAUUUGACUACAUGGAGAACCUCAGCAAAAACAGCUUUUGACAGAACAAGGCGACAGUAAUAACCUUUGAAUCUGAUCUGAGAUGUACCGGACUUACUUUGGAUCUCCCAAAGUGGUAGCAGUUCUUGACCAUGAACGUGAUGAUGCAGUUGUAUGAAAACCAUGGGAGAACUCAAAAACUAUGGUGGAUUUAGGGGACGAUAAGUACAAAAGAAUACUUUGUGUGGAUGGUAAUUACUUUGAAGCCAUGAGAAGAAAGGACCGGCCGGCUUAUAUUAAUCGCUGUUAAGUCCAGUUUCUGCUUUGAUCAACUUGAACUACAGAGGCCAGAGCAGAGGAUUCAGAUUCUGUAUGUUUAAGAAUUUCGUCCUAAAAAUAUCAAGCUUAUUCCUCUGCACGAUCUCUGCAGAUUUUUAUACUGCAACAUUGGAAAAACAAAAUUGUUUCUUCUCUGUUUUGUAUUCCUUGCAACUUUGUUGAAAGAAAAGAUAUAUCCUCCGUACUUUGUUAUAGGUGAAUCUUACUUUGUUAUUGGUGAAUCUCAACUUUGUUGCAUC